UGUCUUCGGGGCAGGGUGUAAUUCCCGACCGGCGGUAAAGUCCGCGAGCGGCUUCGGCAGCAUGAACCGGUGCAAUUCCGGUACCGACAGUACAGUCUGGAUGGAAGAAGGCA
rnacentral:ncRNA from 1 species